rnacentral:rRNA from 1 species
GACGAACGCUGGCGGCGUGCUUAACACAUGCAAGUCGAACGGAAAGGCCCUGCUUUUGUGGGGUGCUCGAGUGGCGAACGGGUGAGUAACACGUGAGUAACCUGCCCUUGACUUUGGGAUAACUUCAGGAAACUGGGGCUAAUACCGGAUAGGAGCUCCUGCUGCAUGGUGGGGGUUGGAAAGUUUCGGCGGUUGGGGAUGGACUCGCGGCUUAUCAGCUUGUUGGUGGGGUAGUGGCUUACCAAGGCUUUGACGGGUAGCCGGCCUGAGAGGGUGACCGGCCACAUUGGGACUGAGAUACGGCCCAGACUGCUACGGGAGGCAGCAGUGGAGAAUAUGGCACAAUGGGCGGAAGCCUGAUGCAGCAACGCCGCGUGCGGGAUGACGGCCUUCGGGUUAUAAACCGCUUUCGCCUGUGACGAAGCGUGAGUGACGGUAAUGGGUAAAGAAGCACCGGCUAACUACGUG